UACGAAGGGUGCAAGCGUUGUCCGGAUUUAUUGGGCGUAAAGCGUUUCGUAGGCGUUUUCGUAAGUCAUACUUCAAAGACCACGACUCAAUCGUGGAAAGGGGUGUGAUACUGCGAGGAUUUGAAUUACGUAGGGGCUACUGGAACUUAACAUGUAGGAGUGAAAUCCGUUGAUAUGUUAAGGAACACCGAGGGCGUAAGCAGGUAGCUGGGCGUAUAUUGACGCUGAUGAACGAAAGCCAGGGGAGCGAAACGG
rnacentral:misc_RNA from 1 species